GCCCAGGUGGCGGAAUUGGUAGACGCGCUAGAUUCAGGUUCUAGUGCCGCAAGGCGUGGAGGUUCGAGUCCUCUCCUGGGCA
rnacentral:tRNA from 1 species